rnacentral:lncRNA from 1 species
AUUUUAGGUAAGCCAGACUGUCACAACUGCUCAACUCUGGCCUUGUAGCUGGAAAGCAGCCCUAGACAAUCCGUCACCAGGUGGGCAUGGCUGUGCUCCGAUAAAACUUGAUUUACACAAACAAGUUGUUUGCAAUCCCUGGAUCAGAAGGAACGUUUACUACCCUGUAUCAUGUCUCUGUAGGCUCUCCCUUAUGGAUAGGAGUUCCCAAUUUCUGGUGUGUGUGUUAUACAGUAAUUAGGUAUAGGAUCAAACCCUGUUUAACUGUUUAUCUGUUGGAUUUCAGGAGGCUGGUGGCAUGUUGUCCUCAAUCUCGACACUACUAUCGCCAUCACCCAAAAUUUUGCCAGCAGCACCAACUUCCCUGUGGUAUGGCACAAGACGGUAAGAGGGAGACCAAAGUUAUCAAGGAAAUGGUAUAGGUGAGAGUCAUUUUUUUCUUAUUUCUGCUUGGUUUCAAUUUCGACCCCAGAGAUAAAAUGGCUAGUCCACUGCUGCGGUGAUGUGUGCUGAUCGUACACAGGGUUGGGCAAAGCUGGGGCUGCCGACCCUCUGGGUAGAGGAGAGAGGGGCCAAGGUCAGGGCAAGUCCUCAGGGUGUUCGCCAGCCUCGAGGUGGCAGGGUGAGACUCUGCAUGUUGAAUCCAAGCCACUCAGUCAAGACGUCAUAAUUGGGAUUGUUUCUCGUUUUGUUUUGUUUUGUUUUUCAAAGCUAGCGCUAGCUAAAAUCAUUUUAUUUGGGUUUUAUUUGGGUUGUUUCUUUUUCUUACCUAGAAGCAUUAUUCCCAUUUGAACUUAAUACCUUCAGUUCUUGUGAGUGAGGUGACUGCCCUGGAGACUUAGCUCCUCUGUUUAUCCACAGAACAGAUACAGCACGGGCAGCGGCAGUGCAAGCCACCCACAGCCACCCCGUGCCACUGUGUCCCAACCCUGACCUGGAGGGACCAGCUCUCGGGGAUCUUGAAGCAAGAGCACCCCGAGUUGGCAGUCCUGGCAGACUCGGUUGACCUUCAGGAGUCCACAGGGAUAGCUUCCGACAGCUCCAGCGACUCUUCCAGCUCCUCCAGCUCCAGUUCGUCAGACUCCGACUCAGAGUGCGAGUCUGGAUCCGAGGGCGAUGGGACAGUGCACCGCAGGAAGAAGAGGAGGACGUGCAGCAUGGUGGGAAACGGGGACACCACCUCCCAGGACGACUGUGUCAGCAAAGAGCGCAGCUCCUCCAGGUGACCCAGCAAGGCUGUUGUCUGUAUGGAAGGACACGCUCGCGGCGAGGGCAGGGCCUGGGGAGGGUGGCCUGUCCAGUCCUGCAGACAAGGGGAGGCCUGACAGAGCCCAAGAAUGAGGACACCCUCGGCACGGGAACCCAUUCACUUAGCGUUUGCUCCAGUAGCUUUCCCUCUGCUACCGAUGCAGAUAAACGCGGCUUGUUUUACUCAGAAAGGCAAGAGAAUGUGAAUAAUGCCAAGAAAACCCUUUACAUUAUUUAAUAAAAAUUGAAUCCAUUUUCUAUCUUGGAAAUGUUUUCCUUUGAGAAUACCAGAACAUUCCCUUAUUGCUCUUCUCCUCAUGGUGGUCUUGGGGGAAAGCGUGACUCCUGCUGUGCAUCCUGGACCGCAGAAUCGUCGUCCCAGCAGCGUAGGGAGAGCCGUUGGAAAAGUCACCCGGCAUCUUCUGCAGAACCUGAGGCGUGGCCUCUUGCUUUUUCUCCCAGUUUGCCGUUCCUGCUUGAGUGCUCA